AUUAAUUACACAUAUUGACGCUUGUUUAAGACAAUCAAUUUUCGACUCUUAAAAAUAUCACUAUAUUGAAAAUUAAAAUGUGGCCCACACCUCUCAAUUACAAAGCCUACUGAACUAAAAAAUUUCAUACCUUAAAAAUUUCUAAAUCCUCGGUCAACUAUACUCUCCCACAUCCCACCAUCUCAUCUAAUUCCUACAGAUCGGCGGCUGCGUUGUUCUUUAAGAAUUCAUUUUCUCUCUCUUCCACCAUCAAAAUUCUACGUAGUGGAAGCUUCGAGCUAGGUGAUUUCUAGCGAGUGUGGCCGAGUUUAGGCUUUUUUUAAGAUUGGCCCUACUAUGACCCUUUUAUAUGGUGAAUAGAGGGUUAAAUAAAGAGGAAGUAAUAGGUACUUGAAGCAUGAUGGGAUAGAGUGCAGAGAGUUGCUUCUUAUGUUUCUUAGUUUUUAUAUUUUGAAUGAUUGGUUAUUGUUUAUGGACUAACAAUAUUGUGUUUAUUUUUAAUUAGUUUUAAGAAGGGCCAUGUUUGAAUUGGUUCCAACUUGUGAAUGUUUUAUUUUACAAUUGUUUUGAGGUUGUGAACUCAAACUUUACUCUAAAAGUUGGUUCUUAUGUUGUA